rnacentral:tRNA from 2 species
GCGCCCGUAGCUCAAUGGACAAGAGCAGCCGUCUUCUAAGCGGCAGCGUGCAGGUUCGAGUCCUGCCGGGCGUUCCA